rnacentral:tRNA from 1 species
GCACUAGUAGCUCAGCAUCAGAGCGUCGGCCUUGUAAACCGAAGGCCGAGGGUUAAAUUCCCUCCUAUUGUU